CUAACACAUGCAAGUCGAACGAAGCAAUUAAGAUGAAGUUUUCGGAUGGAAUCUUGAUUGACUGAGUGGCGGACGGGUGAGUAACGCGUGGAUAACCUGCCUCACACUGGGGGAUAACAGUUAGAAAUGACUGCUAAUACCGCAUAAGCGCACAGUGCCGCAUGGCAGUGUGUGAAAAACUCCGGUGGUGUGAGAUGGAUCCGCGUCUGAUUAGCCAGUUGGCGGGGUAACGGCCCACCAAAGCGACGAUCAGUAGCCGACCUGAGAGGGUGACCGGCCACAUUGGGACUGAGACACGGCCCAAACUCCUACGGGAGGCAGCAGUGGGGAAUAUUGCACAAUGGGCGAAAGCCUGAUGCAGCGACGCCGCGUGAGUGAAGAAGUAUUUCGGUAUGUAAAGCUCUAUCAGCAG
rnacentral:rRNA from 1 species